GCGAAAGCAUUAAGUGAUCCACCUGGGGAGUACGGCCGCAAGGUUGAAACUCAAAGGAAUUGACGGGGGCCCGCACAAGCGGAGGAGCAUGUGGUUUAAUUCGAUGAUACGCGAGGAACCUUACCUGGGCUAGAACGCAAGACGAUUUCCCGUGAAAGCGGGAUUCCCUUCGGGGCGGCUUGCGAGGUGCUGCAUGGUUGUCGUCAGCUCGUGCCGUGAGGUGUCGGGUUAAGUCCCAUAACGAGCGCAACCCCUAUCAUUAGUUGCCAUCAGGUCAUGCUGGGGACUCUAGUGAAACUGCCUGCGCAAGUAGAGAGGAAGGUGGGGAUGACGUCAAAUCAGCACGGCCCUUACGUCCAGGGCUACACACGUGCUACAAUGGUCGGUACAAUGGGUCGCUACCUGGUGACAGGAUGCCAAUCUCAAAAACCGAUCUCAGUUCGGAUCGAAGUCUGCAACUCGACUUCGUGAAGUUGGAUUCGCUAGUAAUCGUACAUCAGCAAUGGUACGGUGAAUACGUUCCCGGGCCUUGUACACACCGCCCGUCAAGCCAUGGAAGCUGGGGGUACCUGAAGUCCGUGACCGCAAGGAGC
rnacentral:rRNA from 1 species